rnacentral:rRNA from 1 species
UAACCUACCCAUCAGAGGGGGAUAACACUUGGAAACAGGUGCUAAUACCGCAUAACAGUUUAUGCCGCAUGGCAUAAGAGUGAAAGGCGCUUUCGGGUGUCGCUGAUGGAUGGACCCGCGGUGCAUUAGCUAGUUGGUGAGGUAACGGCUUACCUAGGCGACGAUCCCUAGCUGGUCUGAGAGGAUGAUCAGCCACACUGGGACUGAGACACGGCCCAG